rnacentral:rRNA from 1 species
UACGAACUGUGCAAACGUUAUUCGGAAUCACUGGGCUUACAGGGUGCGUAGGCGGCCAGACAAGUAGGGUGUGAAAGCCCCCGGCUUAACCGGGGAAUGGCGCCCUAAACUGUAUGGCUGGAGUGAGAUAGGGGUGUGGCGGAACUUCCGGUGGAGCGGUGAAAUGUGUUGAUAUCGGAAGGAACGCCGGUGGCGAAAGCGGCACACUGGAUCUCGAACUGACGCUGAGGCACGAAAGCCAGGGGAGGACGAACGGGG